rnacentral:rRNA from 1 species
CAGCCGCCGCGGUAAUACAGAGGGUGCAAGCGUUAAUCGGAAUUACUGGGCGUAAAGCGCGCGUAGGUGGUUCGCCAAGUUGGAUGUGAAAUCCCCGGGCUCAACCUGGGAACUGCAUCCAAAACUGGCGAGCUAGAGUAUGGUAGAGGGUGGUGGAAUUUCCUGUGUAGCGGUGAAAUGCGUAGAUAUAGGAAGGAACAUCAGUGGCGAAGGCGACCACCUGGACUGAUACUGACACUGAGGUGCGAAAGCGUGGGGAGCAAACAGGAUUAGAUACCCGUGUAGUCCCUGUCUCUUAUAA